ensembl:lncRNA
UGCACCUUUUGAAUGUAUUAGGUUAAAAUUAUUGAUUUUUACCAAUUUUCAAAACCGCCCUGUAACUGACACAUCCUGACUUCAAGACGAAUGCUGUAAUACAUUCUCCUCCUCUUAAUCAUGAUUAAAUCCUCACACACUGGUGUUCUCGAUGUACCUGGUGCAUGAAACAUUGCCUCAAAUAUCAAACAUUGUAUGUAAAAAUGAAUAGACAACACAGGCCCAUUGUGAAAAAUACAUCUUAUUUCAGAAAUCAUACAGGCAAUAUGUAUUAAAAAUAGUGUGAUUAAAUCAUUUUGAUUUACUAUUUGUUAUUUUCAGAUUUUUUAUAAUAGAAAAACUAUGAAAUAUUUAAAAACACACUUUUACUAAAUGUCUUGCUAAUUCAACUAAAGGGUUUCACCUGGUGAGCCAGCUGUUGAUUCGGAACCCUAUUUAAGUCCUUCCUUGAUGCUCUUCACUCAUUAUUUAUGUGUGCAAAUUAUAAAUAAGCUCCCGAACGUUUGACCCUGCAGGUAAAAAAAAAAGCUCAAGGAAAUCAACUCAACAAAAACGGAUAACGUUAAAAAGGCACAAAAGGUAAAUAUUCAUGACUUUAGUGAAGGGCGAAAAUGCAAGUCGACCUAAACUGCUAAUCACUACACAGAGAACAACGUGGAGGACGUUUAUUCAUGUUGAGAGAGAGAGAGAGAGAGACGCUAAAUAGUCCCAGCAGGCCGAGGUGCUGACGUCAUCGGGUGGUGACAGCAGACGUUGAAAGCUCGGGUAAUAGUCAGUUCUAAUGUGUUUUUAUUUCACCUACUAAAGAUUGGCCUGCUAAUUACCAGUAGAUCAAAUUAGGUAUAAAACCGUGUUUAAAGUUGUUGGAUUUAACUCAAUUUCCAGUCCUGCAGGCUUGCGUGCAUCACUAAUUCGCCCAUGUAAUGAAUAUUAACUAACUCUCUAAAAAGGGGGCCAGAGGUCAUGAGGGUGUCAGUAAGGUGUUCUGCAGCAUGCAGGACCGUGGAAAGCACAACCCUGCAUUAAGUCCAAAUUGCUUGCAAAUCUUAUUUCAAUCAAACAAAGUAAAAUCGAAGAGGAGCUCUCUGCAAAACGUUUGCCAUGGUCUUUUCCUUACCCACGGAGCCGCGGGUCAAAAGGUGAGGGACAAAGCAAGUGCUCCCCUUUGCUCCCCUUUGAACAUGACACCUCGGUAGAGUGCGAGGACCAAUGCAGGUCAUUAGCCCGCUGGAAUACCUUCGGGUUAAUUCAUCUCUGAAGUGAUUAUGACUGCACGGCAGCCUAAUUAGAGCUCUGCCUAACAUUUUACAUGCACUGUUUGUAAAGCGUUCACUUCCACUGAUUAAAUACAGACCCCCCCUGAUGAGUGCUUCGCCUCCGUGUUUGACAGAAGGCCGACGACGCACAGUCAAGUGCGUAUGUCUCAAUUAGCCAUGCAAAGACUAUUGGACGUGUACAUGCGGGCAAUAGCGUCAAUCUGAAACUUUCCAUCUCAGCAGGAAAAAAGAUUUACGUCACCGUUAUUUCUUAUUGUCUCAUAUUUUUGUCGCUAACCUUUCCUGCUUAACCUGAUUUGAUUUUUGUCCAUUCCGCCGUCCCCCCUUCAUCCUCCAUCUUUUCCUCCCUUCCAUGCUCCUGCUGUCCUUCACUUACGCGUUCUUUAAAAGUCAUCCCGGGUUAGCUGGAAUGUCACAUCGCUCAAGUGUGCCCUCCGGGGCGGCUCCUGUUAUUUUGAGGGGUCAUGUACAUUUAUCCAAGCAAUGAAUGAGGAGGCACCCACAGGCAGGAAUGUGAGGCCUGAGUGGAGCCGCAGCUGAAAGGACAGAAAAACAACCUUUACUUUCGGAGGAGAGGGUUUCAACAGGGUUUCAAGCCUUCUUUUUUUUUUUAAAGGUUAAAGUAAAAAAAUGUCCGUUACUCGUCAAUAGCCGCCUUUUGGCCCCGGCUCGAUGGACUUGAACUUUUUGGCCACUCACCCAAGAGACUUACACAGAUUGUUUUUAUGAAAGGAAACUGUUGGAGUGCUUCAAUCAGGAGAAUGUAUCCGCUUUUCAUAUGGGACCAGGAAAAUUCCCUCAAGAAAAGCAUGUGCAAUUGCAUUGGGAGCGUCCCGGCCCUCUGAAGGUCCACUAAUGAAAUGCCUUCAGGGUCCCCAGGUUCACCUGUCAGAUCCGAGGGGAAAGUCUGUGCUUGUUUCUCAUUUCAGAUUAUUCUGACACCCAAACAAUAACAUCAAAUUGCAUAAUUUACAGUGUAAAGAUUUUACACUGUACCUGCCAACACCGUUUUACACACACGGGGAAAAGAAAAGCCAGCGAAAGAAAGUGGAGGGGUUUUUUUGUGUUGCCAUUAGCCGCUGCCUGGAACGCUUGCAGCGGGUUUAGUGCUCAUUAAGCGGAGAUAUAAGGCACUAUCUCAUAACGACUAAAGAUCUGUUGUCUGGUAAGCACUAACAAAACGAUUGAUUCGUAAGCAGAGGAAAAGAGGAGGUCAGGAGGAAAGGGAGAAAUUUAUAAUGAGAGCGUGAGAGGGGGAGGGAGGGGGGAGCCGUUUAGUUGGCAGACAGUUUCCUGAUUCAGCCGGGCUGGGGAGCAGAGGUAGCUGUCUUCCCCCAUGUACCUCAUCUAUCACUGCCUAUUUUCUAGGAGACUCACCCGUUUCCUCCCUCCCCCCUGCACACGCUCAGGUGGAAGGCAGCGAGAAUUCAAUCUCUGCUCGCCUCACAGUCAUCUGCUGAAAUGUGUCCGUUCCUCCUUCGUGGCAGGGUCCCAAAACUUAGCCACUAAUGGUCCGCCGGGCCGGGGAAGGAUCACUGCAGGAAGCAGAGCUUUUCCUCGUGUGAUCUAUUUCCAAUCUGUAGUGUGGCACGGGUAGAUCAGGGGCAAGUCGGACCCGGCUUCAAGACCCGCCGAGGGCUUCAACUGCAGGAUCCUGAGGAACUUGUGAUUGAUUAUAUGUUUGUUUUUACUUUUUAAGUAAAUAGUUUAUUAUUUAAACGCUUAAUUCUCUUCUUGAAUACAAAUAUUAGUUAAUGCGGAACCGAUAUAUGCAUUUUAAAGUCAUAUCUCCAGUACAACCUUUGUGGACUGUCCAAAACACCCAUAAUAUUCAUAACUGAGACAACAUUACCCCUCCCACCCCGGACAUAAACUGUUUGUGCCCCUUCCAUCUGGCAGGAGGCUGAGGUCCAUCAGGACUAAGACCUCCCGCCACACGAACAGUUUCUUCCCGUCGGCAGUCGGGCUCAUCAACAGAGCCUGGUCCCCCACUGACUGACUAUAACACUCCACCGGUCACUCCCCUUCAUACUGCACUUGUCACUUUAACUGCAAUUCAUCACUUUGUCACUUGUCACUUUGUCUCUUGUCUGUUACUUGUUUGUUAGUGCACUUUAUGCUUAAUACUUUUCUUUUUAACUUUUUAAUAUUUAAAAUUUGUUUAACUUUAUUCCCUUGUUUUUUACUAACCCAUAGCCUUAGCCUUAUUCUUACUAACCCAUUGCAUUAGCAUUUCAUUCCACUUUAUUUUAUUACCUGUGCACUGUUGUCUUGUCUGUCUACUGUCGCGCACUAACCGCCAAGACAAAUUCCUUGUAUGUUUGACAUAUUUUGGCUAAUAAAUGUAUCCUGAUUCCUGAUCCUGAUUCCUGAUUCCUGACAUUAGUCCUUUUUAUGUUGAUAUGGCAAAACUUUUCACCAGCUAUUAAUCCAUUGAAACCACACUAGCAGAUCUGGACACGUUUCUGUUAAGUUGCCAGAACAAAUUUUAUUCACAGAAAUACGGCCAAACACGCUGAAAAUCAGACACUUUUGACAUAUUAUGGACAAAAAAAAUGUAGCUGCACGAGUUCGCACAAAGACAAGGAGCAACAUGAGCAUUUAUUUUGAGCAGUUUUUUUGGCUAAAUCAUUUCUUGUGUUUUUUCCACAAUUGGAAGAAGCAUAUAUAUUUAUAAAUGGUCUGUUUUCUGGUUCCUGGGUGGGUAAAAAACCUUUUUUUCAAAUGAAUAAACAGCAAAACAGCAAAUUUGUCAGACCGGAGAACAUAAACGAUAAGCUAAAAGAUGUUUUUUGGUGCUGCGUAGAUCAGCGCUCGGUACCACUGCGUUCCAUGCUUAUUCGUGCAUUUAUGCUUUCACCGAUUCCUGCAAGCUGUCGCAAAGACAUCUGCUGCACGUCAACUACGAGUUAUUCAAAAGGGAAAUCCUAAUUAAUGCAGAUCUUGACUCUCCCCCCGCCGGUCGCCACUCUGGCAGGCCUCGAGUCCUCCCACCUGCAACGCGACCUUUAACACUGGGGCCAUGGAGGUGGUGUCAGAGCAGGGUGAGGGAGCCUGAUCACAUCCUUUCAAACUAAACCUACCGCCUCUAGAGAAUGCCAGCACAGGUUUCCUGGAAUCCAGACUUUCCUCCUCUGUCCCUCGCCGCUCUUUGUUCAUUUGCAUAAUCCCUGUGACACUGUGAUUAAUGACUCUGCUGUGAUUUGCAUAUCUGUGUCUGAAAUUGAGGACAGACUUUCAAACAGUAAACAGUCCAGCGAGGAGCAAACGUGUCCCAACGUGGUGUCGGUGGGACAUGGGGGACCCCCGGGGAGAGGGAUGAGCGUUCUGCGGGUCAGAUCACGAGCACGAGAGGCAACGCGCACGCACACACACACUCACACACACACACACACACACACACACACACACACACAGAGACAAGGCCUACAGGGGGCUUUCUAACCCUCCAUCUCCUUUUCUUUGGCUCUGGGGGCCCCGGUCGAACACAGGGCUGGGAAAACGGGGACCUUACUGGUCCAGCUGCUACAAACAGUAGUUCAAGAACAUGGAAGCCCCCCCCCCCUCCCUAAAGAAAAGACCAUGGCAGAGCUCUGGUUUAAGCAUUCCUUGGACAGUGGCGGCAGAUUGGGUGUUUGAGGCUUGUAUCUGCUUCAACAGCGCCCCCGAGUGGGCUCCUUGUGAUUUCCGCCUGACCAGAUCGCUCAACGCGUUGAACGUCAAUUUAGAUUUUACUUAUUAAAGCUGUAUAGAAAAAGCUGUGUUUUUGUUUCUUUCUUGGUCCAAAGAAAGAUGUGGAAAAGAAGAAGUGCAAUAGAAUUGUGUCCUCACAUCAAAUGAUAUGGAGACUGUUAGAACUUUAACCAAUUCCAAUACAACACAGAAUUUGAUGCUAUUAAAAUAAUCACAGUCAUUCAAAUAAUGAUGGUCUGCAAAACAUAAAACUUUUACCAUCAAAAAGCCCAUGAGUGAAUCUCCCCCAACGUUGUGUAGACCUUGAGGCUGACUGAGUUACACACACACACCUUGACAUGCAUACAAAUCCUCACUGCCUCUGGGAGACCAAAGUCUGGAGACGACAAGCCUGCAAUGAGGUAAUGACAUUUCCUCCUGCGUAAUGUGGCCAAAGGCGUCUCGCUCUCUCUCUCUCGACAGGACAGAGAUAUCUGGGCAGCUCCGGUGACGAGCCUCGCUCUAAUCGGCAGGUACAGCUUUCACUGCAGCUCAGGUCCCAACCACAGAGUAGCAGCUAAAUAAUUGAACAGGUGCAAUAUGUUGAGGCAGGAUGGGGGAGGGAGGAGGAAGACCAACCCAAAAUGUCUGUCCACUGCUUGGAGUGAAAGCCCUCAAAUGUUGGUUUGGGCGAAAGUCUCUACUUUCCUCGCAGUUGGUGGUCCGGAGACAUGCUAGCCUCCGCUCGAACCCCCAAACGCAGCCGCUGCUCUUUGCUGCCGUUUGUUUCAUUAAAAAUGUAAUUUCUCAGCUUGGCCCACCGCACAAGUCUUGAGGUUACCAUGACAACAAAUUGAGAGGUCAUGCCAGCAAUCUCACCCUUGUCUUACCUGAUGUGCACAACAACUUCACGGCCAAACCGAUCCCUGAUUUCACAGGGGUGGUGGUCACCGGCGUGAAGUGAGGCAGAAUGUGUGUGUGUGUGUGUGUGUGUGUGUGUGUGGUGGGUCGACUGACCUUGGGAGACGGUCCCCUGUGCAGGGUUUAAGGAGAGGGAGGGACGGAUGCUGUGAAGCAGGUACACAUGGCGAGUGCCACGACUGCAGUGAGCUGAAACCGACGCGGCGUAUCUCUGUGGACACGACGUUAGCGAUCGUGCUCGGCGACGGGGGGGAGGGGGUGGUGGAGUCGCCAAGGCAACCCGAAAAAGCAUCAACAAAAGCCAGGAGAGAGAAGAUGGCAGUUUAAAAAAAAAGAAAAGGAAACGCAUUUAGGAUUUCAAAAUGUCAAAACAUAAUUUAGCUCAAAAGCAGCUAGCACAUGAAUUUUAGGAUUCAUCUAGUGUACGUUCAUCUCUGCACACUGAUUCACUUUUGCAUUACAACUCUGAAAAUAUUUAAGGCAGGGAUUUUUAUGUCAUCCCAUCAUCUGGCAUGUAUUCCCACUGCAGAAUGCCGUAUGUCGCUUCGUUGGCUCUAUUCACCGACAUUUGUUUUAGUUUUUUCUUCCAGAGAGUGAAUGAAAUAAAUAAAUCUGUGUCAAAGUCCUCUGCGCAGCCACUCGCUCCCAAAAAGUUUGACUGUGCCAAUCAAUCAAAUAAUGUGUGUGUUUCCUCUCAAGAAUGCCCGUCAAAGGAGGCAUUAUGGUGGAAACCUCCCCUGGCCCCAGAAAGGUGUCACAGUAAGCAUCGGUUGUCAGAGACUUGUCACUGCCGGGUGGUUGGAAAGCAUGAAAAAGACCCUCUCUGGGGACGAGAAGGAGGACGUGCGUGGACGUGUGUGUGUGUGCGAAUGUGUGAAGGCUUUAACUCACUUUAGCCUGUUGCAUCAACCCGUGUCAAUCCUCCAGACAGAAGGUCUCCAUCCACAGGGAGACUGCCGUAUUAUUCGCCUGGACGAGCCGUGCCAAGUGGGGAUCCAAAUCUGUGCCUAAUUGAAUGCUGACAGUUUUGGUUGACUCACAUUUUGAGCUAUACCCAGAUUAUUUCACUGAAUAGGAUUAUUAUGAGGGGAGGAUUCCACCAAAAAGCAAUUCUGGCAGACUGAGGGUUCAGAUGCGACGUCGCUCACAGCUGACAGGAGGGCAACUCGGACACAGCCAAGGGGCCCGUCUUAAAAGGCAUUGGCCACCUGGCGGGAGAUCCAGCAUGGGGUCCUUCUCCAUUCGCCUGGGGACUGCGUGAGGGAGCCUCACAUUUUUGGCAGCGCAAAAGUGGCGGUGACCGAUGGCAAUUUCUGUUUUUAGAAGACUUAAUCACGCAUGGAUCAUGCGGCAUUAGAGCAGACUGCCCACUCCUCCUGCUUCACGGGCUGAAACGUCUUUUGGGGUGGAUUUGAUUCUUUCAGCAGGGGGGGGGGGGGUUGAAUCUAGCUUGGUGCACGUUCAGAUAGUCGUCUGGAAAUAUCAUUCAUACACCGGGGAAGGAUUUGGGGUAAAAGUAAAGUAAAAGGCAUCUGUGUCUCCUUUUAGUCGGGGUUUGCAUGAUCACUUUGUGAUGUUUGAUAAUGUGUUUUGACUUCAAAUCUUGGCCCUUUGCAGCUUUAAUUCCAAUCCAAAAUUAUUUGUUAUCGCCAACUCCCCCAACAUGAAAUGAAACAAGCCUCAUGCCACAGGUUGAGUACCAACCAUCACAUUGAUCUGUCACAGUAUCCUCAAAUUCAAUUCAUCACAAACAAACAAACUGAGAUAGCACAGUGACUUCCUCAUUUCCCCCUACGUCAUCUUUUUUCAACGCAAGUGAUAUAAAAUUAUCAUGUGCAAACAGGAAGUGACAUGGUCAGCCAGGUUCGUCAGUCUUCACAAACCCACAGUUUGAACAGUUAGUGAAGAGUUGAACAUUUAGUAAUGCAAAUGGCAAUUCUGUUCAAUGGCUACUAACAACAGAGAAGAUGUUAUUACGGAGAGAUUAUGGAACUAUCCAAGCAGGUCAAACAACAAGCAGGCAUCAUUAUAGAAUAAUAUUCAUCUCCGAGCCCAAACGACAGCAGCGUCUACCACAGGAGUCCUCCUCCUCCAGCCGAGCAUGUGCUAUUUCGGUGUGUGUCAGUUUUGAUAAGGGACCAGUGGAAUAAAUUAUGCUUUUCAGGGGUCUCGGGGGGGGUUGGCUUGGCUUCAUUUAGUUCAGAUAGCCUCUGUAGAUUAUCCGUGUUUUCCAGGCCUGCGUUUCUGACAGGUCAUUAUUGUACAGCACACUGGGACCUACUGCAGAGAGCCUCGCGCCGCGAGCCCCACCGUGCACACACACACACACAGAGAAUCAAACAGGCCGAACAGGGGGUGAGAUAUGCCCGCUCGUCUCAUGUAUCGGUACUUCGGUGGUGGACCUGAUAGAUCUACCGGCCCGGUUCUCCACGUUCAUUACUGCUGCUUCAUAGACGGGGGGGGGGGGCGCGAGGGGGGCUAAGGAGGACUCACUCUGUACCCACCGAGAGCAACGUGCGGAAUGCUUGAUGAAUCGACGCCAAGCCGGCAUUUUACUAAUCAGAAACCUGUCAAUAUCAAAGGAGGAAGAAGGAGGGGGCAGAGGUUGACAAGGACUCCGUCGUCCACAUGUAUAUUCUCUCUCACACACACACACACACACACACACACACACACACACACACACACACACACACAGUCCAGCCCUUUUUGCAGCUAUAAAGCUAGAACUUGAUGAAACUCAGAUCAAAGUAUAGCUUUUUCAGAGGAAGUUAAGUGCUAUUUUGGCAUAAUACCACACUCACUCUGUAAAUAAAUUAAGAAUCAUCCAGUUUUGAAGGUUAUUCUAAUGUAAAAACAUCUCGCUGAACAAUAUCUCGCCGAUCCGUUUCAUGCUUAGAAACCUUUUAGGGAAGAGAAGAUGUUCGUAAAAACGGUGCCUCUGCAAAGCGGCUGUGUUUACUUUUCCACAUUGCAAAAUAAAUCCCAAUUACUCCCAGAGAGGCAGACAAGGGGAUAGGAGGGGAGGGAGGAAGAGGCGGGGGGCAAACACAACUCCACUUGACCUCUCAUAAGCCAAAAUGAUUGGGGCUUUGACAGAGCCCCGACCCAGCUGUCCGGCGGGUUGACUGGCAGACGGACUUUGCAGGGGGAGGAGGAUGCGUUAUCUCCCCUUCAAACCGAGACGGGCUGAAGAAGAAGAACAAUAGCAGCCGUCUCAUCGCCUCCUUGGAGUGAAGGCGCAACCGGUCCUCCCCUCAGAGAGUCUUGCUCUGCAGACUAUAGCUCCUAAUUAAUGAAACAGCAAAGAACCGGGAUUUAUGUGAAAGCUCGAUGGGGGGUGCGUGCACGGAGGGCCAUUCAUUGAGCGCCAGAAGUGUUAACAAAUGACCUGACUCCCAUUAAGGAGCAUUAGAAGAGAAUUUCCACAGCCGCACACAGCUAAUAUUUACGGCUAAUUAAUGAGGGUUGGCCGACUGUUUAUCAAAAGCGUGACAAUAGAGUGGAAUUGCAAAGAGCUGCCAUGGGAGUGAGUGGAGAUCUAGAUAGGAUUAAUGCAAACAAGGGAGAAAUUGUUGAUGAUGAGGUUCCUGGCUGCCGAGGGACCAUUGCCUGACAUUGUGGUGCAAAGAAUUAAGUAGCUGGAAACUACAUUGUAGCAUUGCAAAUUGUGUCCCUGAGUACAAAUCCAGGAAACCGAGACGCCUGUUGAAUGUUGAAACGAGCCCAGACGGAGAACCGGGGAGAGGAUCACUCUGCAAGGUCACCGCUUCUGAACCUUCUGGGUAAUUAUUCUUGAUACAAGGAUUAAUAUCUAAUUCAAGACGUAGGCAUGUGUGACUCUUUUGUUAUUAACUUUGCUACUGCGGGGAAACCUUUCAGGAUUAUUUCAAUUCAGUGAUUACUUUUGGCCUAGCAGCUGAUUGCAAACUGUGCUGGUAGGUUUACUUACCACAUUGAUUUCCUUGCCAAUAUUGAGGGUAGAGCUCCCAGGACGUAUCACCCUGCUUUCACCGCAAUACUCUGUAAAUCUUAUUAGAGAUGGAAGUUGAUGGAAGCUCCAUCCCUGCGCGAUGCUGAGAAAGUGCAUGAGGUUAAAAAGAAAGUUCAGCCGAGGUUGGAAAGAUGUUAUUUCUGAUAUAGUGCCGGUAGGACUGACACGUGACAUAGGACAUACGACAAACUGUGAAUUGUAAUACACAAAUAGAUAUUCUGACACUAUUUCAGAUGUCUCUUAUUAGUUUUUCAAUUUAUAUUGUUGUGAAUUAUACGAACACAUGUCUUUAAUUGACUGUAAUCAGUUGCACAAAUAAGAAUAAUGACAACACUGUUUACCAAUUUCAUCAGCUAACAUUAAAUUGGUUUGUGGUUUGCGUCCAGAGCUGUUUGAUAUUUGCUUCUUUACAAACUUCUUCUCCUUGGUCCUUACUGCUACUAAUAUCUACAACAUCCAUUCGCACUCACAUGGACAUUCAGUAGAACGUGGAAACACCCUGGACAAAAUUGCCAAAAGUGUUUGUUUAUUAUUUAGGGUUAUUAUUAUUAUUUGUUGUCUUUAUGUUGUAUGAAACCAACAUAGAACACAGAAAAAACCCUCGUUGAAUUAUCAAUGCAAACCAAAACCAUCUUGAAUUAAUCUCCACCAAUAUUUAUAUAUGCACCUCAUCUUAGCUAACAUUCCUUCAAAAGGCCAUUAAUUCUACCGCAGUAAGCUAGCUAGCUCGUGUGCUAGCUACUUCUGCUACCUGACAAAUCCAGUGGCAAUUUAAAGGAGCACAGCAACCUGGUUCACAGCAACUCAGUCGCACAGCAAAACGUAUAGUAGGGAAGUUGAUAGUCACGUGACCUAGUUGCAACUAAAACUUUGUAUUCUCACGCUUUCUCCCCAAAAGCGUGAGAAUACCACGUUCCACAACGUAGCUAUUACACGUUUUGCUGUGAGACUGGGUUGUGCACAGAGAGAUCCACAGUUAAAGGCCCAGCUAUUCCAAUGCUUUAGAUGCUGACUGUUACGGGCCUCUGGCCCCGCGUCUCCUUCUCUAUGUUCUUGUUUGCAGAUUGGAGACGGGUGGAGCUGGAGGAGACCUGUUAAAGUGACAGGUUGCACCUGUGGGUGGAGCCAGCACCGUUUUGAUUCAGUCUUUGUUAAGAGUAUGCGUUUUGUUUAAGUACACCUCUCAACACCUACACUUCUUAUAUGCAUCCAUGCAGUUCCACUACACCCCUCAUAUUCAUACUUUCACACUUCACCAGUUUAUUUUCCAUUGUAUAUUCAUACUUUGUUAGUUUUCGAAUAAAACAUUUGUUCUUUCUUUAAGUCAACGUGUGGACUUCCUUGUUUGUCACCUUCCAUGAGCCGGGUUGUGAUGACACUGCAGUGUAAAAAAGCAACUCUUUGCCAACAAUAUAUAUCAGAUUGUUCCGACAUAUCUGCCACCUAGUGGCCAUUAAAUAAUUAAUGCUGCUGUAACAGCAAGUCCCAGUUAAUGUAAAGUAGCACCAUCUCUCUCGUGCGAUAUGUUUGACCUCUUAGCACUUUUUUUUUCUCCACAAAGCUCCAGCCUGUACGUUACCUAUGAACAAUCUGAGGACAGGAUGCAGAAUGUGAUACGCUGAGUCAGGUCUCUGUUUGGUGUUAAUGGUACUGAUUCACACGGUGGAUGGAUAUCCAGGCGGUGCCUCGCUUCACAGGCGAAGGCCGGCUUCGCUGUAUCGUAAGCACAACAGUGUGGCCACGCACUGCUUGGCAUGCUGCUCGGCCUCUGCGCGUUAGUCACACAGAGUCACCAGGGGAAUACUUUCCACCUCUACUGAUCACCGGCCUGCACCUCCCGGCCCUGAGAAAUCAACAAUCGGGAUUUAUAGAUUUACCUUAGAUUGGCUGUCCCGCAUUUGUACCCCCAUAAAUACUUUUACAGCUUUGCUAAUGCCACUGUUGGGAAUAAACAAGGUUACGUCGGACAAGAUGAGGCUGAGAUUUAGCUGGCAACUCUGAGAGGCGUAAUGUCAGAAAAAAGGGAGGAGAAAGCUCGCACUGGGGAUAAGCACUUUAUUGGGAAGCUGGGUGUGCUUUAACAUACCGACACGGGCUUUACAAGCCCAUGCAAUAAGUGAUAAACAUCUUGUGCUCUCCCCGUUUCCACUGCGUGACAAAAAGCUGAACCAUCAAGAGUUCAGGUGGGAUGUCAAGAUUUGCCAAAUAAACUCCAUCCGUGGGGCUCCUGAUGUAAACAAGUUCAAUAAGAAAUUAAGAUUAAUAAAUUAAUCUCCUGGUUUAAAUAAAACUGAUGACCACGGUUGUAAUUUUCAAAGACAUUAUAGAUCAAUUAUUCAAGCACAUUACUUCACUUCAGUUUUAAAUGCUACUCAUUCGGACAACUUCAUGAAAGUUGCAAGGUUUAAAAGCAUGAAAUAUGCAUGGUCAAGCCAUCACUCUCUCCAUAAUGAAUACGCGUACCUCGGAAUUGACACAUUUGCUCUCGAAAAGUACACGCACACACUCUGGAGUUGACUAAGCACCGUGUGUGUGUGUGUGUGUGUGUCUUCUCACUAUUUGCUCCUUCAAAGUCAGCGAAAGCUCACAGUAAAGUUGGACCAAGCCGGAUGAAAGUCCCUGUCUCAGCAGGCCACUAACACAGCUGCAGAGCGCCGUCACCUCGAUGCUCCAACGUCAGUGUUGAGGAACACAAAAAGGAUUUCUGGGGAAAUGUUGAGGGCCGUCAUUGAUUCGGUUUCUGUCGCCUCACUGAUGUCUGCGUGUGGCUGGAAUUGCCCACAGGCUCGAGGGGAUUUAAAGCAUUUCACUGAAAUGCACUUUGAUCACACAGCGUGAUGUAAUCGAUCUACCCGGGGCCUGUAUUUUUUUAAUCUCACGUCACCUGACCGUGGCGACAGUCACGCGUUGAUCACUUUUAAGAAACAAUUGAUGAUCCAAUCGUCUUUGCCAUUACGAAUGACAAACCAGGUAUUCUCAGGUAGGAAGCAGCAGCAAUCAUCUAGAUGCUGAGGAAUGCUUAAAACACGGCAUGUGCGUCUACUUGGAUAUGUAUGCAAUACAAGCUGUGGCCCACAGGAGGCCCGUGCGUCCCAGCAUGUGAACACACUGCAUCAAUCACCAACGUGAAUCCCCCCC